rnacentral:rRNA from 1 species
AGAGUUUGAUCCUGGCUCAGGAUGAACGCUAGCGGCAGGCCUAAUACAUGCAAGUCGAACGGUGAUAGCAAUAUCAUAGUGGCGCACGGGUGCGUAACACGUAUGCAACCUACCUAUUAUUGGGGGAAAGCCUUUGGAAACGGAGAUUAAUACCGCAUAAUACGAUUGACUGGCAUCGGUUGAUUGUUAAAGCUUCGGCGAUAAUAGAUGGGCAUGCGUCCAAUUAGUUAGUUGGUUAGGUAACGGCUGACCAAGACGAUGAUUGGUAGGGGAUCUGAGAGGAUAAUCCCCCACACUGGCACUGAGAUACGGGCCAGACUCCUACGGGAGGCAGCAGUAGGGAAUAUUGGGCAAUGGGCGGAAGCCUGACCCAGCCAUGCCGCGUGCAGGAAGAAGGCGUUAUGCGUUGUAAACUGCUUUUUUAUAGGAAGAAGGAUCCCUUGCGAGGGAAGGUGACGGUACUAUAAGAAUAAGCACCGGCUAACUCCGUGCCAGCAGCCGCGGUAAUACGGAGGGUGCAAGCGUUGUCCGGAUUUAUUGGGUUUAAAGGGUGCGUAGGCGGUUUAUUAAGUCAGUGGCGAAAGACGGUCGCUCAACGAUUGCAGUGCCAUUGAUACUGGUAGACUUGAGUGAGAUUGAGGUAGCUGGAAUGGAUAGUGUAGCGGUGAAAUGCAUAGAUAUUAUCCAGAACACCGAUUGCGAANGCAGGUUACUAAGUCUUAACUGACGCUGA